UUUGUUUGGUGUUAUUUUUGUUUUGUUUUGUUGCUAACAUUGUUUACUUUUGUUUUGUUGAUCUAAUUUUUGUUUUGGUCAUAACAUUGAGUGUAUUCUUUUAAGUUAUAUAUUUUUCUAAGAAAAUGUAUUGAUUCCCCUAUCCAUAUUUCAGGAAGCCCACAAUAUUGAAGAUUUUCUAGAAAAUUUUAAAAAUAAUCCUACUGUCCAAAUUCCUCUGGUUUACAAACAACUUUCUGUGCCAUGUGUAUUAGUGAGGGAAUGGAUUGAUGGUAUUAGAUGCACCAAUCCUCAGGUUUGUUAAUUUGGAAUGUAUUGUAUCUGUUGUACGUAAAAAUAAUUUGUUAUAUUUUAUAGGCUAAUAAGUUUUCAUCUUGUGACUUAAGCAAUUAAAGAAUGUGAUAUUGAUCUAGAUGGAUGAGAUCUUGAAGUUGUAGGCAUUGGCUACACUUGGGAUGAAUUGCUCUGGACUGCUGCAUGGUUGUAUCAAACAUCUAACAAUCAAUAUUACUUGGAUUAGCUCGGUAGAAAUGGUGACUCCAUGGGUGGAACCGGUUGGCAAAUGACUGAAUUUAGUUGGGAUGUAAAGUAUCCUGGUGUUCAGACUUUGGUUUCCAAGUUCCUAUUGCAAGGAAAAGCUGGCAUUCAUACAUCGGUGUUUGAAAGAUAACUGGAAAAGUCGGAGUACUUCAUGUUCAUGCAUGGGAAGGGGUACUCACAAUGUUAAGAGGACACCCUGUGGCCUUAUAUACUGCCAGAGAUGGAACGACUUACAGUUCACCACAAGUUCCUCCUUUUUAACUAAGUCUAUUCUGACUGCCUCGCUUCUUCUACUAUGGACUUGAAAUGUGCUUCUAGCUAUGUCGCUCCUUCAUUGCUGCAACUUCACUCCCUCUCUAAUUUAUAGCUUUUCUGUUUUAUAUCUUUUUAUUGUUACUGCCUUUGUUGAUUUUGUUUGAAGGGAGUAAAUGUGAAAUGAACAGAAGGAGUUUAGCAGUUAAAGGAAUUGUCGCAAUUGGAUUUUCAGCUAUGGCUUCCACUUUCAUUUGUAUUUAGUUUCAAUUUAUUUUUUCAUUUGGUUUUAAUCCAUUU